AUGGACCUACUGCAGGAUGCAGAUGGAGAGGUGGUUGCACUGAUCCUCUCUGUAUUCCUGAAUGAACUCCAGGACAGAGCCACCCUAAUAUCCAGUCCCACUGCCCUACAGCUGGCUGAGGUGCUCCAGUCACUCUUUGCCAAUGACAACAGCCAUGUGCAGCUGCUCUCCAUUCGCCUCUUCCGAGAGGUGAUGGAGCUGGUAAUGGACAAGGGAAAAAAGGCCCUGAAGGCGCACGUGUGCCAGAGCCUGCUCCCGCUCUUCUUCCACUGCCAUGAUGAGAACCGGAAUGUGGCAGAAGUGAGGACUCACGGGCUGCUGGGGUUCCCCUGGGAGGGGGCUCGGCUGCCUCCUGCCCUGGCGCCACAUGGGCUGCAGCCUCCUCCUGGCCUUGGCACAGGGACGCGGGUCCUGUGCCCUGGGCUGUGGUGCCAUCUCUGGGUCUCUGCUGCUCUCCAGGCCUCCCAGGAAACACUGCUUUCUGCGCUAAGGUUCCUGAAGAGGAGGCAUCUGAAGCAGGUGGUGAAGAAGGAGCAGCCGUGGAAGUUCAGUGAGCGCCUGCUGGAGGAUGACAGGAGCCGAGCAGCUGAGCACCUGCGCCAGGCCCUGCUGUACCUGGACAGCCCACAGGAGCCCCUGCGAGAGGCGGCCAUCAGGUUCCUCGGUGAGCCACGAGAUCAGGAUCCUUCCCUGUCCUGCCACAGCAGGAUCCAGGCCAGGGUCCAUGACAGGCUCUGCAUUCCCAGGGAUCGCAGGGCGGUACGUGAGGAAGCAGCAGGAAGAGCUCUGGCUCAUCUACAAGGGUGA
rnacentral:lncRNA from 1 species